GCAGAGUAGAAUUUUGUGCGCUGCAUUAUUUCAGUAAUGCUAAGUGCCGAUCGAACGGGGAGUUGUCGGUCGGACGAAAAGAUUUUUCUUGCGGUGCAAAAUUCGCAUCCCGCUGC
rnacentral:ncRNA from 1 species